GAUGAACGCUGGCGGCGUGCCUAAUACAUGCAAGUCGAGCGAACGGACGAGAAUCUUGCCUCUCUGAUGUUAGCGGCGGACGGGUGAGUAACACGUAGAUAACCUACCUAUAAGACUGGGAUAACUUCGGGAAACCGUAGGUAAUACCGGAUAAUCUGUUGAACCGCAUGGUUCAAAAGUGAAAGACGGUCUUGCUGUCACUUAUAGAUGGAUUCGGGAUGCUUUAGCUAUUUGGUAAGGUAACGGCUUACCAAGGCAACGAUGCAUAGCCGACCUGAGAGGGUGAUCGGCCACACUGGAACUGAGACACGGUCCAGACUCCUACGGGAGGCAGCAGUAGAGAAUCUUCCGCAAUGGGCGAAAGCCUGACGGAGCAACGCCGCGUGAGUGAUGAAGGUAUUCGGAUCGUAGAACUAUGUUAUUAGGGAAGAACAUAUGUGUAAGUAACUGUGAACAUCUUGACGGUACCUAAUCAGAAAGCCACGGCUAACUACGUG
rnacentral:rRNA from 1 species